CACGCCGUAAACGGUGGGCGCUAGGUGUGGGGAACAUUCCACGUUCUCCGUGCCGCAGCUAACGCAUUAAGCGCCCCGCCUGGGGAGUACGGCCGCAAGGCUAAAACUCAAAGGAAUUGACGGGGGCCCGCACAAGCGGCGGAGCAUGCGGCUUAAUUCGAUGCAACGCGAAGAACCUUACCUAGGCUUGACAGUUGGGGAAAACUGGCAGAGAUGUCAGGUCCUUUUGGGCCACAAAACAGGUGG
rnacentral:rRNA from 1 species